UGAGGGUAAUGCAUGCAUACAGUAAU
rnacentral:piRNA from 1 species